GCAUAAUCAUUUGCUCUUUAAUUGGGGGCUUGUAUGAAUGGAUAUACGAGGCUAAUUCUGUCUCGCUUUUAAAUAUAUAAAUUGGUUUUCAGGUGAAGAAACCUGGAUUUUAAUGAAGGACAAAAAGACCCUAUUGAGCUUUAUUUUAUAGAGAUUUUUCAUAAUAAAUUUAUUUUAUAACUUAAGUAAAAUUUGAUUGGGGCAAUAAAGAAAUAUAUAAAUUUUUCUUUUUUAUUAGGAAUUAUUAUUCUUAUAAACGAUCUAUUGGUGUAAUAUAGAGAAAUAGUUACCAUAGGGAUAACAGGCUAAUUCUUUUGGAGAGUUCAAAUUGAUAAAAGAGUUUGGCACCUCGAUGUUGGCUUAGAAUAUCCUAUAGGUGUAGCAGUCU
rnacentral:rRNA from 1 species